rnacentral:rRNA from 1 species
AUGCACGCUGGCGGCGUGCCUAAUACAUGCAAGUCGAGCGAACAGACGAGGAGCUUGCUCCUCUGACGUUAGCGGCGGACGGGUGAGUAACACGUGGAUAACCUACCUAUAAGACUGGGAUAACUUCGGGAAACCGGAGCUAAUACCGGAUAAUAUAUUGAACCGCAUGGUUCAAUAGUGAAAGACGGUUUUGCUGUCACUUAUAGAUGAAUCCGCGCCGCAUUAGCUAGUUGGUAAGGUAACGGCUUACCAAGGCAACGAUGCGUAGCCGACCUGAGAGGGUGAUCGGCCACACUGGAACUGAGACACGGUCCAGACUCCUACGGGAGGCAGCAGUAGGGAAUCUUCCGCAAUGGGCGAAAGCCUGACGGAGCAACGCCGCGUGAGUGAUGAAGGUCUUCGGAUCGUAAAACUCUGUUAUUAGGGAAGAACAAAUGUGUAAGUAACUAUGCACGUCUUGACGGUACCUAAUCAGAAAGCCACGGCUAACUACGUG